rnacentral:rRNA from 1 species
GACGAACCACACGAACGUUAUUCGGAAUUACUGGGCUUAAAGGGUGCGUAGGUGGGCAAGUAAGUCAGUGGUGAAAUCUCCGGGCUUAACCCGGAAACUGCCAUUGAUACUAUUUGUCUUGAAUACUGUGGAGGUCAGCGGAAUAUGUCAUGUAGCGGUGAAAUGCUUAGAUAUGACAUAGAACACCAAUUGCGAAGGCAGCUGGCUACACAAAUAUUGACACUGAGGCACGAAAGCGUGGGGAUCAAACAGG